rnacentral:rRNA from 1 species
UACUCUUGACAUCUAGCGAAGACUGCAGAGAUGCGGUUGUGCCUUCGGGAACGCUAAGACAGGUGCUGCAUGGCUGUCGUCAGCUCGUGUUGUGAAAUGUUGGGUUAAGUCCCGCAACGAGCGCAACCCUUAUCCUUAGUUGCCAGCACGUAAUGGUGGGAACUCUAGGGAGACUGCCGGUGAUAAACCGGAGGAAGGUGGGGACGACGUCAAGUCAUCAUGGCCCUUACGAGUAGGGCUACACACGUGCUACAAUGGUAUGUACAGAGGGAGGCAAGCUGGCGACAGUGAGCGGAUCUCUUAAAGCAUAUCGUAGUCCGGAUCGCAGUCUGCAACUCGACUGCGUGAAGUCGGAAUCGCUAGUAAUCGCAAAUCAGAAUGUUGCGGUGAAUACGUUCCCGGGCCUUGUACACACCGCCCGUCACACCAUGGGAGUGGGUUGCAAAAGAAGUAGGUAGCUUAACCUUCGGGAGGGCGCUUACCACUUUGUGAUUCAUGACUGGGGUGAAGUCGUAACAAGGUAGCCGU